AAUCAACGCUGGCGGCGUGCCUCAGACAUGCAAGUCGAACGCGAAAGUUUCCUUCGGGGAACAAGUAGAGUGGCGCACGGGUGAGUAACACGUAGGUAAUCUACCUUUGGAUGGGGAAUAACAACCGGAAACGGUUGCUAAUACCGCAUAAUGCAGCGGCACCUAAUGGUGACAGUUGUUAAAGCGGGGGAUCGAAAGACCUCGCGUCUAAAGAGGAGCCUGCGGCGGAUUAGCUAGUUGGAAGGUAACGGCUUACCAAGGCCACGAUCCGUAACCGGCCUGAGAGGGCGGUCGGUCACACUGACACUGACAUACGGGUCAGACUCCUACGGGAGGCAGCAGUCGGGAAUUUUGGGCAAUGGGCGAAAGCCUGACCCAGCAACGCCGCGUGAAGGAUGAAAUCCCUCGGGAUGUAAACUUCGCAAGAACGGGAAGAAUAAGUGGGGUGAAUAUCCCCCAUGAUGACGUACCAUUUGUAAGCUCCGGCUAACUCCGUGCCAGCCGCCGCUGUAAG
rnacentral:rRNA from 1 species